GCCGAGGUGGCGGAAUUGGCAGACGCGUAUGACUCAGAAUCAUAUGGACUUAUGUCCAUGCGGGUUCAAGUCCCGUCCUCGGCACCA
rnacentral:tRNA from 1 species